rnacentral:rRNA from 1 species
CGGGUGAGUAAUACGUGAGUAACCUACCUUUAACUCUGGGAUAAGCCUGGGAAGCUGGGUCUAAUACCGGAUACGACCAAUCUCCGCAUGGAGUGUUGGUGGAAAGCGUUAUGUAGUGGUUAUAGAUGGGCUCACGGCCUAUCAGCUUGUUGGUGAGGUAACGGCUCACCAAGGCGACGACGGGUAGCCGGCCUGAGAGGGUGACCGGCCACACUGGGACUGAGACACGGCCCAG